ACGACCUGUAAACAAAAAUGGCGUCGAGAAGUUGUAACUAGACUCGCGAAGAGACAGACGUCCUAGUUGACGUAUCGGGAUAUUCUUUUCGGAAAAUUCUCCGAAAAAGUCACGAAUGAAGAAAUGUAGAAGAAGUUUCCACUGUUUUAGAAUCGAUUAAUGCGGUCGGAGGAAACGGGAGGUCCAUGGACGAUAUGAAGAGCAAAUGGAAAGAUCUGAAGUGCCGGACUGUAGCGAAGGCAAGACGACACAGAAAGGAACGAAAGCAAACGGGAGGUGGGGAUGCAGUUCCGGGACUAACUGCAGUUCAAGAAAAGAAAAUCCUGAAAAUAAAACGAGCCGUUUCACAGCAUCCCAAACCCUGUCACAAGUUGUUCCAGAUGAAGAGGAGGUUGUAUCAAAACCACCUAACAAAAAGAAAAAGACCAGUGUUGAAGCAUGCCAAUGUUCAGCUGAGCUGCUGGAUAUCCAGAGAAAACUGCUUGCAGAGGCUGAGAGCAGCAAUGCAUUGAACAAAAGAAACCUCUUCCUCAAACAAAUUAGUUCAAGUCUCUCGGUUCUUGCUAUAAAGCAGUAUUCUUACAAUUUGAUGUUUGAAUUGUUUAACAUUUUAGUCGUUUACUUGUAAGGCAAGAUAGUCCCUGGAGAAGAACUAAAGUACGUAAACAGCCUUGUCAGCAGAAAGACACUGUUGCAGUUACUGAAGGUUUAACAUUUUAGUCGUUUACUUGUAAGGUAAGAUAGUCCCUGGAGAAGAACUAAAGUACGUAAACAGCCUUGUCAGCAGAAAGACACUGUUGCAGUUACUGAAGGUUUAAAUUUUAGUCGUUUGCUUGAAAGGCAAGAUAGUCCCUGGAGAAGAACUAAAGUACGUAAACAGCCUUGUCAGCAGAAAGACACUGUUGCAGUUACUGAAGGUACAGCGACAUCUUCACUGGGGUUAGAUUUGCGAGGUGACCAGUUUCCAGACAUCGGUUCGCUCCUGCUUGUGUACGAGAUUGGCCGAGACUAAAAAAACUGUAGUGUGUCACCUAAAGGUUUAACAUUUUAGUCGUUUGCUUGUAAGGUAAGAUAGUCCCUGGAGAAAAACUUAAGUACGUAAACAGCCUUGUCAGCAGGAAGACACUGUUGCAGUUACUGAAGGUACAGCGACAUCUUCACUGGGGUUAGAUUUGCGAGGUGACCAGUUUCCAGACAUCGGUUCGCUCCUGCUUGUGUACGAGAUUGGCCGAGACUAAAAAAACUGUAGUGUGCCACCUUAAAGCGGCUUUAACAUUUUAGUCGUUUGCUUGUAAGGCAAAAUAGUCCCUGGAGAAGAACUUAUGUACGUAAACAAAAAUUGUCAGCAGAAACACACUGUGGCAGUUACUGAAGGUACAGCGACAUCUUCACUGGGGUUAGAUUUGCGAGGUGACCAGUUUCCAGACAUCGGUUCGCUCCUGCUUGUGUACGAGAUUUGCUGAGACUUAAAAAAAACUGUAGUGUAAAUAAUAAAAAUAAAUAAUAAAAUAUUAUGGAUGCCAUAUUAAGUUUUUAAACUUUUUUCUAUUGCAUGCACAUUCGGCUAAACCCAGUGUCUUUUUUCUCGAAGCUCUGACCAAAUUAAGGAUUCGAAUAGAGGUACCUUUACGAUAAUAUUAAAAAAUAUAUAACGUUUUCGUAGCGUCAUUAGGGUCAACUCAAUAUUUGCACUAAAUCUGGUGUGUUUGAUGUUGAAAUUAAGUCAUCGUGGUUGUUGCAAUUAUGUUUGGUGUUAAUGUUGAUUUAAUAAAUAUCGGAAAUAUA